GAAAAUUACAUCUUGUCUACUGAUACCAGAUCACAGCUCAAAUUUCUUGAAAAGCUGGAUCAAUUGGAGAAGCAGAGGAAGGAUUUAGAAGAGAGAGAAAUGUUACUGAAGGCAGCCAAGAGCCGCUCCAAUAAAGAAGAUCCAGAACAGCUGAGAUUAAAACAGAAAGCCAAAGAGUUGCAGCAGUUGGAACUCGCCCAGAUCCAAUAUAGAGAUGCUAAUCUCACAGCUCUUGCAGCCAUUGGACCACGGAAGAAGAGACCACUAGAAUCAGGAAAUGAGAGCUUCAAAGACAACCCUUCUGCUUCCGGGACUUGCAGCCUAACAGCCACCAGACCACUGCUUCGUCCAAGAAUCACAAGAGUCAGCCUCAGGGACUUGAUAUUCUGUAUGGAACAGGAAAGAGGGAUGAAGUACUCUCGAGCCCUGUACCUUGCCCUUCUCAAGUGACCACUGCACCCAGCGCACACUGCCUGCUGCCAAAGAAGGCGUGGAGCGUGCUCGCUGUCGCCCUGCUCCGAACUCUGCUCUGCAAAGUAGUCACCAGUGUGCAGGACCGCUGUUUGCACUGUGUGCUCUGUGGACUCUAGCUGAUGGGAAUGCAGAAGUAUCACUUACUGACCUGCAUUUAGGGACUCCCUUCUACCUGCCUUCCUUUGUUGUUGUUGUUUCCACUUGGUAGCAAUGAGGUGCCUUCCUCUGAUGCAGGCUGCGUCUGCAUGUACAGUAAAGGAGAGUCACAAUGCAUCCUGUACUGAACCUGUGUCCCAGCGUUACACUUCAUGGUCUGCACUCAGAGCUCACUCAGCUAGUGCUGAAGUCACCGUCCAUGGUUGAAGGGUGACAAGCUACACAUAGAGGCAGAGCCCACUUGUUAGCUGAGCCACAAUUGCACAGCCGUGGAGACCAUUGGUGUCUGAGGUUGCUGAGUCCAUGGCUUCCCACACUGCAGUAUUUCCAAUACCUAGUGAGGGCCGUCUUGUCAGCCAAGUUUUAAAACAAAUACCUCACUGAAAUGUGCAAAAGCUAGAACAUACUGGAAAGAGUGAGGCCUUGCAUUCAAACUGACAAGGGAUGAAAAUGGCAUCUUGAAACUGAUGUGUGUCAUAUUCCAAGGAGAGAUGACUGCACCGGGAAUUCCAAAGCUCAUCCUUGUUUUAGUGAUGGAAAAAAAAAAAAUCAUAGGUCAACCAAAGAGGAAAGCCUGGCAAAUACUUAGUUACAAUGUUUCAAAAGGAUGAUUUGUUUUUGUAUUGUUUUAAUUCCCAAGAAGGAAUUCUUUGUUUCCCAGUUACCCUGUUUUAAGCAUCCAGUACUUUUCAGAUUUCUAACUGCUGGUCAGAGCAUUUGACCAGUAGGAGACCCUUUGAAUUGUGUACUUAAGAGGUGCUGUCAGCAUCUUGCUCUUCUGGGGUGGGUGGCUCUAAAUGCGAGCAGUGCAUUAUGUACCUCUGAGGAGGAACCUGGUAUUCAAAGAACCUCCUCUCUCCGUUUUAAGUCUACGUGUGUAUAUUAUAGCUGACAAAAAUAAUGGUGAAAUUGAAAUCACAUACAAAAGAAUGCCAAAUUCUCCCGGGGAAACAUUUCCAGUGUGUCACUCUCCGUUCUGUUCUUCCCACAGGGACUGUUACGGCCACAUUCUAUACUAUUGUACGAGUUUAAUUGGCCACAAUUUUUGUUUUAGCAAGUUAUGUGAAAUGCCAUAAAUUAUGUAUAUGCUUUAAAAAGAACUUUACCAAGAGAUCUAUACCCAAAGUUGUGUAUUUAAAUGCUUAGCUUUAUUUUUUGUAAAGUUCAGCAUAUUCCCACAUUUGUGUAAUCUUAUUGAUCAGAUGUUUAAAAUUAUUUCAAAUACAUCAUUAAAAUAAUUAUUUUAUGAUUAAAAACAAACAAAACUUUUCUC
rnacentral:lncRNA from 1 species